rnacentral:rRNA from 1 species
AUUGAACGCUGGCGGCAGGCCUAACACAUGCAAGUCGAGCGAGCGGCGGACGGGUGAGUAAUGUAUGGGGAUCUGCCCGAUAGAGGGGGAUAACUACUGGAAACGGUAGCUAAUACCGCAUACCAUCAGAUGAACCCAUAUGGGAUUAGCUUGUAGGUGAGGUAACGGCUCACCUAGGCGACGAGCUCUAGCUGGUCUGAGAGGAUGACCAGCCACACUGGGACUGAGACACGGCCCAGACUCCUACGGGAGGCAGCAGUGGGGAAUAUUGCACAAUGGGCGCAAGCCUGAUGCAGCCAUGCCGCGUGUAUGAAGAAGGCCUUAGGGUUGUAAAGUACUUUCAGCGGGGAGGCGUUACCCGCAGAAGAAGCACCGGCUAACUCCGUGCCAGCAGCCGCGGUAAUUC